CUUGAAGGAGCCGAGCCAGAGCGGCUCGUCCCCGGCGCGCUCCUGACCGUAGGUGGCGAGGAGGGCCUGGGCCUC
rnacentral:antisense_RNA from 1 species